AAUGAUGUUAUUUUAAUG
rnacentral:miRNA from 1 species